rnacentral:rRNA from 1 species
UGCAAGUCGAACGGGACUUUCAGUGUAGCAAUACAUUGAAAGUUCAGUGGCGUAAGGGUGCGUAACACGUGGGAAAUCUGCCGAGAAGUGGGGGAUAGCUCGCCGAAAGGCGAAUUAAUACCGCAUGUGGUCAGUGAGGACAUCCUCGCGAAACCAAAGCCGGGGCAACCUGGCGCUUCUUGAUGAUCCCGCGGCCUAUCAGCUAGUUGGCGGGGUAAAAGCCCACCAAGGCUAUGACGGGUAGCUGGUCUGAGAGGACGACCAGCCACACUGGAACUGAGACACGGUCCAGACACCUACGGGUGGCAGCAGUCGAGAAUUUUUCUCAAUGGGGGAAACCCUGAAGGAGCGACGCCGCGUGAAUGAUGAAGGUCUUAGGAUUGUAAAAUUCUUUCACCGGGGACGAUAAUGACGGUACCCGGAGAAGAAGCCCCGGCUAACUUCGUGCCAGCAGCCGCGGUAAUACGAAGGGGGCUAGCGUUGCUCGGAAUUACUGGGCGUAAAGGGCGCGUAGGCGGAUAGUU